rnacentral:rRNA from 1 species
UACGUAGGGGGGCGAGCGUUUGUCCGGAUUUAUUGGGCGUAAAGAGCUCGUAGGCGGUUUGGCAAGUCGGGUGUGAAAACUCCGGCUCAACUCGGAGACGCCACUCGAUACUGCCAUGACUCGAGUCCGGUAGGGGAGUGCGGAAUUCCUGGUGUGCGGUGAAAUGCGCAGAUAUCAGGAGGAACACCGGUGGCGAAGGCGGCACUCUGGGCCGGUACUGACGCUGAGGAGCGAAAGCGUGGGGAGCGAACAGG